AGAGUUUGAUCCUGGCUCAGGACGAACGCUGGCGGCGUGCCUAAUACAUGCAAGUCGAGCGAGCCGAACCAAUUGAUUACCUUCGGGUAUGAAGUUAGGGAAGCGAGCGGCGGAUGGGUGAGUAACACGUGGGUAACCUACCCUAUAGUCUGGGAUACCACUUGGAAACAGGUGCUAAUACCGGAUAAAAGGAGAGAUCACAUGAUUUCUUUUUGAAAGGCGGCGUAAGCUGUCGCUAAAGGAUGGACCCGCGGUGCAUUAGCUAGUUGGUAAGGUAACGGCUUACCAAGGCAACGAUGCAUAGCCGAGUUGAGAGACUGAUCGGCCACAUUGGGACUGAGACACGGCCCAAACUCCUACGGGAGGCAGCAGUAGGGAAUCUUCCACAAUGGACGCAAGUCUGAUGGAGCAACGCCGCGUGAGUGAAGAAGGUUUUCGGAUCGUAAAGCUCUGUUGUUGGUGAAGAAAGAUAGUGAGAGUAACUGCUCAUUAUUUGCCGGUAAUCAACCAGAAAGUCACGGCUAACUACGUGCCAGCAGCCGCGGUAAUACGUAGGUGGCAAGCGUUGUCCGGAUUUAUUGGGCGUAAAGCGAGCGCAGGCGGAAAGAUAAGUCAGAUGUGAAAGCCCUCGGCUUAACCGAGGAAUAGCAUCGGAAACUGUCUUUCUUGAGUGCAGAAGAGGAGAGUGGAACUCCAUGUGUAGCGGUGGAAUGCGUAGAUAUAUGGAAGAACACCAGUGGCGAAGGCGGCUCUCUGGUCUGUAACUGACGCUGAGGCUCGAAAGCAUGGGUAGCGAACAGGAUUAGAUACCCUGGUAGUCCAUGCUGUAAACGAUGAGUGCUAAGUGUUGGGAGGUUUCCGCCUCUCAGUGCUGCAGCUAACGCAUUAAGCACUCCGCCUGGGGAGUACGACCGCAAGGUUAAAACUCAAAGGAAUUGACGGGGGCCCGCACAAGCGGUGGAGCAUGUGGUUUAA
rnacentral:rRNA from 1 species